CAGGCGAGUGAGUAACGCGUGAGAACCUACCUUCAGGACGGGGACAACAGUUGGAAACGACUGCUAAUACCGGAUGUGCCGAGAGGUGAAAGGAUUUAUUGCCUGAAGAUGGGCUCGCGUCUGAUUAGCUAGAUGGUAGUGUAAUGGACUACCAUGGCGACGAUCAGUAGCUGGUCUGAGAGGAUGAGCAGCCACACUGGGACUGAGACACGGCCCAGACUCCUACGGGAGGCAGCAGUGGGGAAUUUUCCGCAAUGGGCGAAAGCCUGACGGAGCAAUACCGCGUGAGGGAGGAAGGUCUUUGGAUUGUAAACCUCUUUUAUCAGGGAAGAAAAAAAUGACGGUACCUGAUGAAUAAGCAUCGGCUAACUCCGUGCCAGCAGCCGCGGUAAUACGGAGGAUGCGAGCGUUAUCCGGAAUUAUUGGGCGUAAAGAGUCCGUAGGUGGUUUUACAAGUCUGCCGUUAAAGAAUGGAGCUUAACUCCAUGGGAGCGGUGGAAACUGUGAGACUAGAGUACAGUAGGGGUAGCAGGAAUUCCCAGUGUAGCGGUGAAAUGCGUAGAUAUUGGGAAGAACAUCGGUGGCGAAAGCGUGCUACUGGGCUGAAACUGACACUGAGGGACGAAAGCUAGGGUAGCGAAAGGGAUUAGAUACCCCUGUAGUC
rnacentral:rRNA from 1 species